GUUACUUCAGUGAAUGAGUGAAUGUAAACAAACGUGAUUACAAUAAAUCCACGUAGAAAUUUCAUAUUUUUUUAACCAUUACUACGUCUGUCAAUUAUAUUGCCUUGCAUGAUAUAAUGUUUUGAUGUGGUUUAAGGCUAAAUUGUAUCUCAAAUUAUUUUUCUACGAAUCAGAAAACACAACCUGCUAAAGGCAGCACCACGCAAGAAGAAGAGCAAGUCUUCGAAGUCCGAGAGUGUGUCUGCGAGAUCCAUUGAAACUAAUCAAGCUACAAUGUACAUGUAACGUACAACCACCAUUUGAUUAGAUGCCUGUGAACAGCAAGACCAACAUCUGUAUCCUUUGCAUUAGUAUUUGUUUCCAUUUUAUUAUGUAAUUCUUAUGUCUAAUCAUUAAGAUUCAUAGGCAAGUACAACAUGUAUGUGUACACAAUGAGUGCCUGCAUAUUGUGAAGAUAAAGGACCAUAAGACCAUUACUUAUGAUACAUGGUAAUGAUGGUAUACUUUGUAAAAUUAUUU
rnacentral:lncRNA from 1 species